UGGACGGGGAGAAGAACGAGCAAGCGACGGAGAACGAGGAUUUUUCUAGGACAACCCGAGGUAGUUAGCGGUGGUCGUUGGAAGUGGUUGGCGGUCGUUGGAGGUAGUCAGAGGUGGUUGCGGGUGAUCGAGCGGGACAAGGAGGAAGACAAGGAGGAGAGGGAAGAGGAUUCAUACAUGGUGGUUAUCGAUGAAUGUUGGAGGUGGUUGAAGGUGGUUGGAGAUGUUCGGAGGUGAACGUGGAGGAGGUCGAGGAAGACGAGGAGAAAGGUGGACCAGGAGGACGAGGAUAUGUGCACUGUAUAACUCGAGGUGGUUGGCGGUGGUCGUUGGGGGUGGUUAGGGGUGGU